rnacentral:rRNA from 1 species
UACGGAGGGAGCUAGCGUUGUUCGGAAUUACUGGGCGUAAAGCGCGCGUAGGCGGUUACUCAAGUCAGAGGUGAAAGCCCGGGGCUCAACCCCGGAACUGCCUUUGAAACUAGGUAACUAGAAUCUUGGAGAGGUCAGUGGAAUUCCGAGUGUAGAGGUGAAAUUCGUAGAUAUUCGGAAGAACACCAGUGGCGAAGGCGACUGACUGGACAGUAUUGACGCUGAGGUGCGAAAGCGUGGGGAGCAAACAGG